rnacentral:rRNA from 1 species
GGUUUGAAAGGAUGAUCCGCCACACUGGGACUGAGACACGGCCAGAAUCCUAUGGGAGGCACCAGUGGGGAAUAUGGACAAUGGGGGGAACCCUGAUCCAGCCAUGCGGCGUGUGUGAAGAAGGCCUUUUGGUUGUAAAGCACUUUAAGCGAGGAGGAGGCUCCCGAGAUUAAUACCGGACAAUUGACGUUACUCGCAGAAUAAGCACCGGCUAACUCUGUGCCAGCAGCCGCGGUAAUACAGAGGGUGCAAGCGUUAAUCGGAUUUACUGGGCGUAAAGCGCGCGUAGGUGGCCAAUUAAGUCAAAUGUGAAAUCCCCGAGCUUAACUUGGGAAUUGCAUUCGAUACUGGUUG